CUGAGAUUUCUGUUAUCUUAGUAACUUGUCGGCUGUGCCUCACAACAAAUCUCCUUACAUAGUCCUAAACCUAGCAGAGGAAGGGAUAACUGUGGAGGAUAGUGUGCUCCUGUCACUUUAACUUCCACCCAGAACAUCACCUUUAGAGAGGAGUUCCUACCUUUUGCAGGCCAGAAAAUCUCCAAACCCAGCUGGAACAGGCCACAGACCAGGAAGACAGCCUCCUGCAGACAGCUCCAGAAGCCGGAGCAACAGGUGUCACAGGCAAGUGAGCUACCUUUGCAUCCUGACCCCUUCAAUCCAGGUAUAGGUUUUGGGUGGGUGGAACUUGCCUUUGACUUCUUCUGUGUGAAUAGCCCCUGGUUUGGUCUAGCCUAUGACCCAGCCAGGCUGCUUCUGGGUCUGAUUGUGUUUCUUUCUAACACAGCUCCUGAGAGACCUGAGGAGCCGAAAGAAGCCACCAACAACUUGGACCAUGGCAAUGUCUCCCCUAGGAUCAAAGCCUCCUCCUCAGAAGACAACCUGCAAAGCCCCAAGGAGGC
rnacentral:lncRNA from 1 species